GCCCCGUUAGCACAGUGGUAGUGCAGCGCUCUUGUAAAGCGAAGGUCGUUCGUUCAAAUCGGACACGGGGCA
rnacentral:tRNA from 13 species